rnacentral:rRNA from 1 species
AAUAAGAUACCCGGGUAGUCCACGCCCUAAACGAUGCGCAUUAGACCGGUGCAGGUCUGACCCUGUAUUGGUCGUAGAGAAAUUGAUAAAUGCGCCGCCUGGGGAGUACGGUCGCAAGGCUAAAACUCAAAGGAAUUGACGGGGGGCUCACACAAGCGGUGGAGCAUGUUGCUUAAUUCGAAGCAACGCGAAGAACCUUACCUGGGUUUGACAUGCACGGAUUAGUUCUUGGAAACAGGGAUGACACCCGCAAGGGUGGAACGUGCACAGGUGCUGCAUGGCUGUCGUCAGCUCGUGCUGUGAAGUGUCGGGUUAAGUCCUCUAACGAGCGCAACCCCUGUCGCUAGUUGCUAACGGGUAAUGCCGAGGACUCUAGCGAGACUGCCGGCGUAAGGUCGGAGGAAGGCGGGGAUGACGUCAAGUCCUCAUGGCCCUUACAUCCAGGGUUGCAAACGUGCUACAAUGGUGCGUACAGAGCGACGCGAGGCCGCAAGGCGGAGCAAAUCGCAAAAAACCGCACCCCAGUUCGGAUUGCG